GAUGAACGCUGGCGGCGUGCUUAACACAUGCAAGUCGAACGAUGAAGCCCAGCUUGCUGGGUGGAUUAGUGGCGAACGGGUGAGUAACACGUGAGUAACCUGCCCUUGACUCUGGGAUAAGCCCGGGAAACUGGGUCUAAUACCGGAUAGGAGCGCCUGUCGCAUGACGGGUGCUGGAAAGAUUUUUCGGUCAUGGAUGGACUCGCGGCCUAUCAGCUUGUUGGUGAGGUAAUGGCUCACCAAGGCGACGACGGGUAGCCGGCCUGAGAGGGUGACCGGCCACACUGGGACUGAGACACGGCCCAGACUCCUACGGGAGGCAGCAGUGGGGAAUAUUGCACAAUGGGCGGAAGCCUGAUGCAGCGACGCCGCGUGAGGGAUGACGGCCUUCGGGUUGUAAACCUCUUUCAGUAGGGAAGAAGCGGAAGUGACGGUAACUGCAGAAGAAGCACCGGCUAACUACGUG
rnacentral:rRNA from 1 species